GCCUAGCCCUAAACCUUGGUAAUAUAUCACAUACCCUACCCGCCUGGGAACUACGAGCACCAGCUUAAAACCCAAAGGACUUGGCGGUGCUUUAGACCCCCCUAGAGGAGCCUGUUCUAGAACCGAUAACCCCCGUUCAACCUCACCCUUCCUUGUUUAUCCCGCCUAUAUACCGCCGUCGUCAGCUUACCCUGUGAAGGACUAAAAGUAAGCACAACUGGCACAACCCAAAACGUCAGGUCGAGGUGUAGCGCAUGGAAGGGGAAGAAAUGGGCUACAUUCCCUAUAUUAGGGAACACGAACGGCGCACUGAAACACGCGCCUGAAGGAGGAUUUAGUAGUAAGCGGAAAAUAGCGUGUUCCGCUGAAAUCGGCCCUGAAGCGCGC
rnacentral:rRNA from 1 species